ensembl:misc_RNA
GGGAGGGGAGGUGGGCUCGCGAUUGGGUUGCGAUCUGGAGCGGUGGGGACAGGUCAG